rnacentral:rRNA from 1 species
AGGUUCGAUCGAAGGAACAAUCAGAAUAUAUCGGAUUGGGCAAACAAACAUCGUGCGUGGAUAGAAAUUUGGAAUCAAAGAGACACGUUAGUGCAAUCAGAGAAUAGACCUCACAAUCAGUCAGCAUAUCAGAAGUAUCAAGUGUGGUAUGCGGAUCGUUACCGGUUAAAGCUAAAGCCUGGUUGGACUCACGAGGAGUGGUCGGAGUUGGUGUCUGAAGAACCGGAGACUGCAGAAGGUUAUCAUACCUUCAACACAGCUGUGAGAGACACCAGAGGGGCUCACGUUGACUAUGCACCGAUGCAUGACGAAAUGGUAGUCUGUUUGACCUAUUCUAACAAACUUGCAUCAUGUUGUCUUCUUUCAAAUACAUAA